rnacentral:rRNA from 1 species
AGAGUUUGAUCAUGGCUCAGAACGUACGCUGGCGGCACGCCUAACACAUGCAAGUCGAACGAAGUAGCAAUACUUAGUGGCAGACGGGUGAGUAACAUGUGGGUAUCUGCCCUUUGGCCUGGAAUAACACGAGGAAACUUGUGCUAAUACUGGAUAAGUCUUUACGGAGAAAGCUUUAUGCACCAUUGGAUGAGCCCGCACUUGAUUAGUUUGUUGGUGGGGUAAUGGCCUACCAAGACUGUGAUCAAUAGCUGAUUUGAGAGGAUGAUCAGCCACAUUGGGACUGAGACACGGCCCAAACUCCUACGGGAGGCAGCAGUGGGGAAUCUUGCACAAUGGAGGAAACUCUGAUGCAGCGAUGCCGCGUGAGUGAAGAAGGCCCUUGGGUUGUAAAGCUCUUUCGUCGGGGAAGAAAAUGACUGUACCCGAAUAAGAAGGUCCGGCUAACUUCGUGCCAGCAGCCGCGGUAAUACGAAGGGACCUAGCGUAGUUCGGAAUUACUGGGCUUAAAGAGUUCGUAGGUGGUUGAAAAAGUUGGUGGUGAAAUCCCAGAGCUUAACUCUGGAACUGCCAUCAAAACUUUUCAGCUAGAGUUUGAUAGAGGAAAGCAGAAUUUCUAGUGUAGAGGUGAAAUUCGUAGAUAUUAGAAAGAAUACCAAUUGCGAAGGCAGCUUUCUGGAUCAUUACUGACACUGAGGAACGAAAGCAUGGGUAGCGAAGAGGAUUAGAUACCCUCGUAGUCCAUGCCGUAAACGAUGUGUGUUAGACGUUGGAAAUUUAUUUUCAGUGUCGCAGCGAAAGCGAUAAACACACCGCCUGGGGAGUACGACCGCAAGGUUAAAACUCAAAUGAAUUGACGGGGACCCGCACAAGUAGUGGAGCAUGUGGUUUAAUUCGAAGAUACGCGCAGAACCUUACCAACACUUGACAUGUUCGUCGCGACUUUAAGAGAUUAAAGUUUUCGGUUCGGCCGGACGAAACACAGGUGCUGCAUGGCUGUCGUCAGCUCGUGUCGUGAGAUGUUGGGUUAAGUCCCGCAACGAGCGCAACCCUCACUUUUAGUUGCCAUCAUUUAGUUGGGCACUCUGAAAGAACUGCCAGUGAUAAGCUGGAGGAAGGUGGGGAUGACGUCAAGUCCUCAUGGCCCUUACGUGUUGGGCUACACACGUGCUACAAUGGUAUCUACAACAGGAAGCGAAACAGCGAUGUUAAGCAAAUCCUAAAAGA